UAUGGAUUUGCUCAUAGGGAUUACAUACGAAUGAAGUUUUCCUAUCAGUUAAAGAAGCUAGCCAAUGAAAUGCUUGAUUGAAAGAAUGUUUAAUAAAAACAAAAGAUACAGAAAAAAGUAAACCAGUAACCAUCCUGAUAUCUUAAAGAAUACUUUGAAUCAAACUGGGCUGAGCACCCCCAUGGGAGUUGUUAACAAAAAUAUGAUAAUCUCCUUCAAUAAUUCCUUUUGCUCUG
rnacentral:misc_RNA from 1 species